rnacentral:lncRNA from 1 species
GCUUAGGUAACUCACAUUUGCGACUUGCACGGUGUGAAUUGUGGGUGUCCUCACCUGUCCUGAGACUAGCCAGCUGACUGUUGCCCAGAGCUAGCAGGCAUAGCCAGCUGAAAUUCUGAAAGUGGAUUAUGCAUGGAGUAAUGCUGUUCUCAGGAAAUCAGUGAUUUAUUUUAUAAUCUAAAAUUUAAACGUUUUAAUAUACCUCCCAAGAAGAUACCCAGUUCAGAAAACUGCAGAGGAGCCAUGGAACUCAGCAGAAGGCCAGCUCCCUCUCUGGGAGGCCGCCUUCAGGAAACCAAUCGUCCCCCCACCUGAUUCCAAAGGAAUUACAGAAAAAUGGAAAGCCAGGAACAAAAAUCAUAAAUCAUAUUUUCAAUAUGACCUUGUAACGUUAUCCAUGGAUGUUACCUCAGACUUCGUGAUAAGCUGAGGCCCUGACACCAUGUUCCUGUCACCUUCCUGUUGUGGCCAUGAACGAUGCCUUGAGCUCAGCUGUACCUGGAUGCUUGGACUCAGCUGCUGCAGCUCAGAGGCUCUGGACGAGCCCUUCAUCAUCAGGCCAUCUCUUCUGAGAUUCUGCUCAGGACUUGGGCCUGGAUGAUCUGCUGAGCUUCAGUCUCUGCCCUGCUCCCCUCAUGGAGGACCUGAUUCAUCUGGAGCCUCGGACUCCCUAUGUAGUGGUCCCUGGGAUCAGAGCAGCACUCUUGGAAGAACAGUAAAACAGACUUGUUAUUGGCAGCCCAUUAGUGCUCAGGAGAGGCGGUCUCCAGCAUGACAUCAGCCGGCGGCUCGACCCAAAUCUAGUAUUUCACCAGAGAGCCUAACGCUGCUGGCUUUCCAACUGUGUGGAAGACGAUACAGGCGUAACAAAGACAAGGAUGAAAUAAGUCCUGUGAUGGAGAGACAAGCAAAAUUCUACCUGACUUCACAGGAGGAAGAAGUGUGCUGUGCCAGGGGGAACAGGAGAAAGCUUCAUGGAAGAGCGACAUUCACGAGAGAGACGAAUAGGACACGGUCAUCCGAGUGCCGAGGCGCGGAAGCGCGAACUGCCCGGAGCGACCUGGCUUGGCGCACAGACUCAUUAACCAAGCCCGAGAGGAGGCAGCAAUGCGUGUGCGGGAAAGGGAGCGGUUCUCAAAAUACAAAGUGAUAAAACAGCUUCCAGUUAUAUUGAAAAACGAUGCAAACCCUCAAUUCCUUUUUUUUUUUUUUGGACCUGGCCGGACCUGGAAAUGCCGGUUAUAAACAAGAAUAAAAACUUGAAUUUAUUGGUGGAAGUCCUGUUAAAAGAGCUCAACACAAGCAUAUGAGACAAACUGCAAGAAGCAAACAGUCUCCAUUCAGAGAGCAGGACCACACUCUGGGUUCUUGUUUAAGCGUUUGACGUGCACAUGAGACACCUAACAAAGCCUGAAACUAAAUUUAUUUUUCACUACAUCUCUCUGGUAUCAAACUUUUGGAAGUAAAGCAUGUAUUUAUCAAUAAAACAGAUGUUUGCCCAG